UCUGAUAGAUGAGAUGUAUGAAUAGUGACUCUGGUGGAUCCUUGAGGAGGUUUAGUACUAGUCAUUUGUUAUGGUGAAAUAAAAUCAGCAGCUACUCUGCUCCUGAUAUGAUAUGGUCUGGUGGAGGUGGAAUGAACUCUGGGAUGACAAAUGGGAAAUAAUGAAGAGAAGGAAACAUCAAGAAAUGUUUUCAAAAAAUCAUCCCUGGCUAAUGUCGUCCACAGGGGACGCAACUGUCCUGGAUGGAUGGCCAGGACUGCCUCGAGUAUGAGGUGUCCAUCAAGAAUAUCUUGCUGCCACUUAAUAUGGAGGGUGCCUUGUUGCUGCAAAAUGGGCGGGUUCUGGAUGACUUUCUGCACUAGGACGCCACCGGGGACAAGAACGACUAGGUGCCUCCUGCCUGCCUUUUACCUUGUAACAACUCACAAGAUUUUCUUGCUGCCACUUUUCCUGAAUAUGGACGGUGCUUUGGUGCUGAAAUAUGGCUGGCCGGGCUGCUGCUGCUGACCGCCGCCACAUGCUGAAGGUUCAGGAUUGCGUGCAGUGGUGCUGGUAGAGCCAACUGCUGGCGGCAGCGGUGAUGGCGCCAUGCAUGAAGGUCCAGGAGGGUCCUUAAUUUGGAGGGUGCCUUAGAGCUCAUAAAUCGGUUCAGGAUGUCUUCCUCCACUCAGACACUGUUGGGGACAAGAAUCUCUGCGAGGUUCCUCCUGCUUCCUUCUCCAAAAAAAAAUCAUGGACAAUGACAUGGCAGGGUAUGCUAGCUGGAUCUGUAGCUGCUUGAUGCAUCAUAUUGAGCCACCUGUAGCUCCCUGAAUGCGAUGAUAUGGUUGCAAUCCAAGAACCGCCAAAGUUUUCAACUUUAUUUUUUCUUAUGUAUAUAACCCUUCUAGGAUGUGAUCGGAAACAUGUGUUGCUGUGUAUCCGCUUUUGCCCUAUGUUUGUUGGUCGGUGGUUUGGAAAUUCUGGUUGAUUGUCUCGUUAGUUGUGACUAUUGUUGUAAUAUAAAUAUAUUGUUUGCUAUGCAGUUUUGAAUGUCCCCAAAACAGGC